AUACUUCAUAAUAAAAUUACUCAAGUAAAAGUAAAAAGUUAAUAUUUUUUUAAAAAAGGUUAUUCAAGUAAAUGUAACUGAGUAAAUGUAAUUAGUUACCACCCAACUCUGCCUAAAUGCAGUCAGUUUUGUUGAACAAAUGUCAAAGAAAUCCUAUUUUCUUGCUGUGAAAGAAGCGAGAAAAUAUUUCUGAAAAUGUUGCUUUCAGAAAGAUUCGAUUUGCAUCAUGUUUGGCAAAACCUGCAACCCCUCUGAUGAGCGUGACGCGCUGCGAAUCGACGUCCAGUCUGGUUUCUGCUCAGAUGUGGUGAAGGUUGCAGAAAUCCCCGAGCUCUGUGGCUCUCCAGCAUCUCUGCCGGAGUCGGCAGCGAUGCGGCGAAUGUUGGAGAGGUGAUUUCAUGAACCGCCUGCUGGGCAACAUGCUAGGGUUGCUGUCUCUCAUGGGAGAAGAACUUGUUUUUGUUGCUUUAUAUUUAUUUUCAAAACUUAUUAAGAGACUUUAAAGACUUGUUCAAACAUUUUGUGAAGCUCACCUGGACGGUGAGACGUUUAUUUUUGUUUUUUUUAGCAGUGUAUGUAGAGGAGGAUGCAGAGGAGGCUCAGGAGAGACGGAGGACAGACUGAACAAAGCUGUGUUGAAUCGGUUUGACUGCAGAGAUGAGACGAGCCAGCUUCCAGCGGCUCUCUGCCAGUUGCUUAGUAACUGGUGUUUUCAGCUAAAGUCUACAGUCAAAAUGUCCAAAUUAAAGAGGACCUGAAGGAACAAGUGACCAACGCAAACACAUUCCUCCCAGCGGCACAUUUUGUCAGUUUGCUACAGAAAGGGACGUCAGCGGCAGCAUGGCAUCUCGCUGCUUUACUGACAUCAACAGAGGGGCCCCCUCAGGCGACCUGCACACACUCUGCCGUAAUGGGCCUCCUCAUGGUUGGAGGUCUCCUGUCAAAUCUCGGAGCUGAAAACCCCCCCGGAGAAGAGCGAGGGUUUGAAGUCGGAAUAAAGAUUCAGACGGGGGAGAGAAAGCAGCUCUCCUCUGGGCUUUUUCUCGCAGCCAGGUGUGAACGCUGGAAGGUGGCGCGGUUCGCUUCCUGAGUGGAUGAAGACAUCAAAGUUCAAACCUAAACACAAUGGACAGAUUUCUGUUUUAUUCUCAAAGAACUCGGUUUAGACGGUUAUUUUAGGCCUCUGGAGGACGGGUCCAAAAAGAGAGGCGCUAAACCUCAAACUAAAUCUUACAGAGUAUUUUUGAAUUUGUUUCUAGUACAAAAAAAUCUUGGGAUAUGACAAACUAACUUAUAAGUAACUUUUUAGCAAGAUAUUUUAAGUAAAUAAUUCCUUAAUAUUGGUGAAAAAGUUCUAGUUCCAGAGGAAAGGAGAAUUAAAGCCGUUACCUAGCAACCCCGGCCAAGCCCAGCUCGUCUCCUAGCAACCAGUUCUAGUUCCACUGGCAGAAGUGAAAUAAUCUACCACUGGAACUUUUUCACCAACAUUAAGAAAUCAUUUACUUAAAAUAAUGUGUUGCUGAAAAGUUAGUUUGAAGUGAGUUUGUCGUAUUUCACGUGUAAUAAGAUAUUUUCACUAGAAACUGGACCAGAAAUUCUUGGUAAGAUUUUGAGCUUUUGCAGUGCUGAAACCAACUUUUAGCUUUUUGUCCUUGCAGAUGGGCAGAGAGCCUGGAGCGAUCUUCCUCCCUCCUCCUCCUCUUCUUCCUCCUCAGCAGGACCCAAUCUUCUCUUCGCUUGGUAAAUCUUUAUGUUUCUGAAGAUCUCCGGAGGGGGGCUUCGCUGCAAGGAAGGUGACCGAACCUUUACCUGAAAGGAACAAAAAACUGACAGAAAGUUUUACAGGAUGGUUUUCGUUUUCUUAAUUUCCUCUCUGAGGGAGAAGGAGACUUUUCUUCCUGUCCUUAUCAGAGCCUCUGCUGAUUGAGAUCAGCAUGAUCAGGUGGAAUCGAGGAUAUGAAAUCUUAUCAAUUUGAAUUACGACUGGAUUUUAUUGUGUUAAAAGUUGAAGAAGGAUUUUUUGUAUCAUUAUUAUUAUUAUUAUUAUUAUUAAGUUCUGGAGUGCCUCCCGUCAAUCCCAGACGGAGAUCUCCAGCUGAUCAGAGAUGGAUGGCGGUGAUGUGCAGACUGUGUGUCAGUGUGUGAACAGAGCUUCAGUGCAGUGGUUGCAAGUCGUCACGUUAAAACCCGAGGAGUAGAUUUACCUCCCUGCCUUCUGUUUCUGUAUGAGGCUGCACUUCUGUUUUGUAAAGAAAUAAAAACUCCUGUUGGGUCUUAA